rnacentral:rRNA from 1 species
AAAGAUUGAUCCAUGCAAGUCUAAGUAUAUUGAAUUUACAUUAUUGAAACGGUAGAUAGCUCAUUAAAACAGUAUCAUAGGAAGCAGAAUCCUGCAUGAAGCUUCGGCUUAAUGUAAUUGGAUAUCGAAUCGAAUUGAUUCGUUAACACAUGUGAGACAUAACCCAAGAUAAGACCGAGGGUCUUUGAGGGCGAGUUUAUUGAAUGAGAUUAUUGACGAGACUCCAUCUCAAACUUUUGAAGUGCUAUAAACGGGCUAAUCGAUCGCGUACGCUUUCGAUGCUCUGCACCUGUGACUGAUCUAUCAACUUUGUUUGUAGUGCCUUUGACUAAAAAGGUUCUAACGGAUAACGAGAGAUUAGGGUUUGAUUUCGGAGAGGAGGCCUGAGACACUGCCUCCACUUCCAAGGAAGGCAGCAGGAGCGAAAAUUUCUCAAUGACACCUCGUCGAAGAAGUGACAAGAAUUAACAGAGUUGGGUCCUUUUUGGAACAGCAUCUGUGAUGAGAACAAUUUAAAACCAUUAACUAGUAGCCAUGAGAGGGCAAGUCUGGUGCCAGCAGCCGCGGUAAUUCCAGCUCUUAGAGUGUAUAUGAAUGUUGUUGUAGUUAAAAAGCACAUAGCUGAUAAUGAUUUAUCAGCCACUUAUCGGUCACUUGUGGUCGGUAUUGUUGGUGUGAUAGACGAAAAGUCCAUUGAGUAGCAGGCGGUUGGUGGAAACAUUGAUGCGCGCCCUUCAUUCCUACACAGUUUGGAGGACCUCUUUGGAAGAGAUUGACUUUGAAUAAAUUAGAGUGUUUAAAACAGGCUUUCUAGCCUUUGAAUAUAUUAGCAUAGUAUCACAGAAUAUGAUCGACUCACCCAGAAGCCUCGUAGAUUUUCUUCGAGGUGGGUCGUAUAAUGAGAGAUAGGAGCUGAUGGAGCGAUCUUUAUUUGUUGGGGAGGGGUGAAAUCCUAUGAUCCAACGAAGAAACACUAAUGCGAAAGCACCUCGCUAAGAUGUUUUUAUUAGUCAAGUACGAAAGUUAAGGGCGCGAAGAUGAUUAGAUACCAUCGUAGUCUUAACUGUAAACAAUGUUGAUUUAGGAUGUGAAAUCAUUUAUUAUGACUUUUCACGGAUUAUACGAGAAAUCUAGAAUAUUCGAACUCUAGGGGAAGUAUUAUCGCAAGAUAGAAACUUAAACGAAUUGACGGAAGAGCACCACCAGGCGUGGAACCUGCGGCUUAAUUCACCCAACGCGGGAAACCUUACCAGGACAAGACAUUAAAAGGAUUGACAGAUUGAUAGAUCUUUCAUGAUAUAAUGAAAGGUGGUGCAUGGCCGUUUUUAGUUGGUGGUUUGAAUUGUCUGGUUAACUCCGAUAACGUAACAAGACCUUUUCCUGCUAUUUAGCUUAGGAAAAGAGCUGAUUUCAGUGGCGUUCAGCCUUCUUCGGGAGGUGCCCUUCAGCUGUCUUAACUUAGCUUCUUAGAGGUACGCUUUUUGUUUGCA